UGAGGUGUAGAGUAGUCUGGUCAACGCAUCUGUUAUGGGUAUAGAGGGCCAUGCAUAGGUUCGAAUCCUGUCACCUUGA
rnacentral:tRNA from 1 species